UACGGGGGGGGGCGAGCGUUGUUCGGAAUUACUGGGCGUAAAGGGCGCGUAGGCGGUUCGCUAAGUUGGAUGUGAAAACUCUGGGCUCAACCCAGAGCCUGCAUCCAAAACUGGCGGGCUAGAGUUCUGGAGGGGGUAGCGGAAUUCCUGGUGUAGCGGUGAAAUGCGUAGAUAUCAGGAGGAACACCGGUGGCGAAGGC
rnacentral:rRNA from 1 species